GACGAACGCUGGCGGCGUGCCUAAUACAUGCAAGUCGAACGCUGAAGAGAGGAGCUUGCUCUUCUUGGAUGAGUUGCGCACGGGUGAGUAACGCGUAGGUAACCUGCCUUGUAGCGGGGGAUAACUAUUGGAAACGAUAGCUAAUACCGCAUAACACUGGCUUACCCAUGUCAUUUAUUUGAAAGGGGCAACUGCUCCACUACAAGAUGGACCUGCGUUGUAUUAGCUAGUAGGUGAGGUAACGGCUCACCUAGGCGACGAUACAUAGCCGACCUGAGAGGGUGAUCGGCCACACUGGGACUGAGACACGGCCCAGACUCCCACGGGAGGCAGCAGUAGGGAAUCUUCGGCAAUGGGGGCAACACUGACCGAGAAACGCCGCGUGAGUGAAGAAGGGUGUCGGAUCGUAAAGCUCUGUUGUAAGUCAAGAACGAGGGUGAGAGUGGAAAGUUCACACUGUGACGGUAGCUUACCAGAAAGGGACGGCUAACUACGUG
rnacentral:rRNA from 1 species